UCCAAGCUAACUUGAACUAUUGUGAAAAUCCCUGUGAAAAUAAUUUCCAUGUGGAUGUAAUGAGAGUUUAAAAGACAAUGGUAAUAAUACUCAUAGGAGUUAAUAUUGUUUAGAGGCUUAUUUGGAGAAGGCAAUGGCACCCCACUCUAGCCUGGGAAAUCCCAUGGGUGGAGGAGCCUGGUAGGCUACGGUCCAUAGGGUCGUGAAGAGUCCGACACGACCAAGCGACGUCACUUUCACUUUUCACUUUCAUGCACUGGAGAAGGAAAUGGCNNNNNNNNNNNNNNNNNNNNNNNNNUCUUGCCUGGAGAAUCCCAGGGACGGGGGAGUCUGGUGGGCUGCCGUCUAGGGGGUCGCACGGAGUUGGACAUGACUGAAGUGACUUAGCAGCAGCAGCCGAAGCUUAUUAUAUGCCAGGCAUUGUUCCCAAAGCUUUUAAAAAUUGUAUUCCAACUCUAUAACAUAUGUGCAGAUUCUCCAUUUAAAAAAAUUAGAACACCAUAGGUAAGGGAAUGUUGCCUUUAUUUUUUAAUUUUUAAAGAAAUUUUUUGAUCUGGAUCAUUCUUUGGUAGAGUCUUUACUUAAUCUAUUACAAUAUUGUUUCUGUUCUAUGCUUUUUGGAUUUUGGGCCAGGAGGUAUGUGGGAUCCCAGCUCCCCAACCAGGAAUCACACUGGUACCACCUUCAUUGGAAGGCGAAGCCUCAACCACGGGACCACCAGGGAAAAAAGUCCCAGAUGUUUCUUUUAAACAGUAACCCUCCAUUGCAACCUCUUCCUGCACUCCCCAGGAGAAAGAAAAAUGGUGGCGAUUUUCACUUCAUCUCUGCUCGACGUCUGUCUGAAGACCCUGCAGCUAAAGAGGGAAAGACUGAAUAUUAGAUGGGGGCAGUGGAAGUAUCACUUUAAAUCACAGACUUGUGUCCUCCAAACCUAAAUAUGGACACAGCAAAGAGGAAAAACAAAACCCAGCAGAAAAGGAAAAGUUGAUAAGGAUAAAAAGAAUUAGAGAAAAAUGUGGGGGGCACGUGUUGAUAGAGAAAAGAAGUUAAAUGACCACACUUGCCACUUUCUGGUGUAUCCAGUGGGAUCUGCAGAAUUUCACACGGGU
rnacentral:lncRNA from 1 species